rnacentral:piRNA from 1 species
UGAUUAGCAUAAGCCCUACCCGUUCUGCCC